UUGAGGAGGGUGACGGGCGGUGUGUGCGCAUUCUAGAGCUUAAUUUCAUCUUAUAUUUCUCUAUAAGUAUUACUAUCGAAUCCUCUUUCAUUAAUUUUUUCAAAAAAAAAUUCUCUAUUAUAAAGUAAAGUAGCUCAUCUAUUCCCAUUCCAUUGGCUGCACCUUGAUCUGACGUAAAGAAAAAAUUCUUUAAGCUCACUUUCUAAAAGAGGUGAACUGACGACGAUGGUAUACAAACUGUUUUUAUUUCUUGAAAUGGUGAGGUUCCUUGUGGGUUAUCAAUUCAAUGACAAGCUCCUCCGAGAAGGUUUAGAAAACCGCCAAGUUCUUUAAGUUUUAACCUUUUGGUCGUACUACUCUGGUGUUUAAAGGUUUACUGAUAGGUAUAGUGGGGUAUCUAAUCCCAGA
rnacentral:rRNA from 1 species